GUGUUCAAAGCAGGCAGAUCCAAUUUUCUGCCACCGAAUACAUUAGCAUGGGAUAAUGGAAUAGGACCCUGUCCUCCUAUUUUCAGUUGGUUUUGGCAGCGCGAGGACUAGGGUAAUGAUUAAUAGGGAUAGUUGGGGGCAUUAAUAUUUAAUUGUCAGAGGUGAAAUUCUUGGAUUUAUGAAAGAUUAACUUCUGCGAAAGCAUCUGCCAAGGAUGUUUUCAUUAAUCAAGAACGAAAGUUAGGGGAUCGAAGACGAUCAGAUACCGUCGUAGUCUUAACCAUAAACGAUGCCGACCAGCGAUUAGGAGACGUUGAAUACAAAACACCACCAUCGGCGCGGUCGUCCUUGGCGUCGGUCCUUCACGGGGCCGGCGCGAGGGCGGCUUAGCCCGG
rnacentral:rRNA from 1 species